CCUACGGGGGGCUGCAGUGGGGAAUAUUGGACAAUGGGGGCAACCCUGAUCCAGCCAUGCCGCGUGUGUGAAGAAGGCCCUCGGGUUGUAAAGCACUUUCAGUGAGGAAGAACGCCUGGUGGUUAAUACCCAUCAGGAAAGACAUCACUCACAGAAGAAGCACCGGCUAACUCCGUGCCAGCAGCCGCGGUAAUACGGAGGGUGCGAGCGUUAAUCGGAAUUACUGGGCGUAAAGCGCGCGUAGGUGGCUUGAUAAGCCGGUUGUGAAAGCCCCGGGCUCAACCUGGGAACGGCAUCCGGAACUGUCAAGCUAGAGUGCAGGAGAGGAAAGUAGAAUUCCCGGUGUAGCGGUGAAAUGCGUAGAGAUCGGGAGGAAUACCAGUGGCGAAGGCGGCCUUCUGGACUGACACUGACACUGAGGUGCGAAAGCGUGGGUAGCAAACAGGAUUAGAUACCCCAGUAGUC
rnacentral:rRNA from 1 species